CUGAAAAAGUAAAGCAUUCGAAACGCUAAUUGCAAUUUGCUGGGACAAAAGUUUCAAAAAUGUAACAUUUCCUGUACGAAUAGCUCUACGCGAAAGACAUAGAUACAAAGCACCUAUUACCGAUUCUUUAAAUUGAAGGGGGAUUAUGGCAAAAAAAUCCAUAUCAUGCUCUUCUUGCAACCAUCUUAACAGCUCUGCAUCUUGCGAAGCAGAAACUGUGUACAGUGAGACGAUUCG